UGAUCAAGAAUCUUAUAUGUUCAUAAAAAGACAAGAAGACAUGAAAGAUUCAUCAAAGAUACUCAAAAGAACGAAGAAGAAAACGAAAGCUUCGAUCUUUUUUGAUGAAAUUUUGAAAAAUUUAAGCUCUGGGCACGAGAAAGAAGCUGUUUUUGAUUUAAUGGGAAAUCAAAAUUUAUGAGAUGGACCUGAAAAGAAAAAAAUUUGAACUUUUUUUUUCAGAAAUUGAAUUG
rnacentral:lncRNA from 1 species